rnacentral:rRNA from 1 species
CCACAUUGCCAUACCACCCUGAACGUGCCUGAUCUUGUCUGAUCUUGGAAGCUAAGCAGGGUCCGGCCUAGUUAGUACUUGGAUGGGAGACUGCCUGGGAAUACUGGUUGCUGGA